GAUGAACGCUGGCGGCGUGCCUAAUACAUGCAAGUCGAGCGAACGGACGAGAAGCUUGCUUUUCUGAUGUUAGCGGCGGACGGGUGAGUAACACGUGGAUAACCUACCUAUAAGACUGGGAUAACUUCGGGAAACCGGAGCUAAUACCGGAUAAUAUUUUGAACCGCAUGGUUCAAAAGUGAAAGACGGUCUUGCUGUCACUUAUAGAUGGAUCCGCUCUGCAUUAGCUAGUUGGUAAGGUAACGGCUUACCAAGGCAACGAUGCAUAGCCGACCUGAGAGGGUGAUCGGCCACACUGGAACUGAGACACGGUCCAGACUCCUACGGGAGGCAGCAGUAGGGAAUCUUCCGCAAAGGGCGAAAGCCUGACGGAGCAACGCCGCGUGAGUGAUGAAGGUCUUCGGAUCGUAAAACUCUGUUAUUAGGGAAGAACAUAUGUGUAAGUAACUGUGCACAUCUUGACGGUACCUAAUCAGAAAGCCACGGCUAACUACGUG
rnacentral:rRNA from 1 species